rnacentral:lncRNA from 9 species
CCCCUGAGCAGCUCAGGCCAAUGACUCAGCGCCACCCUCCAGCUGUGUCCUGGCUGAGGCUGAGCAGGACUGCCUGGCCUGGGGCCGGGGCUGUGGCUGUGAGGGGACAGAUGGUUCUAGAAGCUGCAAAAAGGAUGCAGGGGGUGCGGAAAGCAGCUUCCCGCUGUGACCUCAGCUAACUCCGCAACAGCCCAUGGGUAGGUACUGUUACCCUGUUUUCACAUCUGAAGAAACGAGGCCCUCACGGGUCAGUGAGUCCCCUGAGGCUGAACCGUCACCCACAGUCUCUCAAACUAUUUGUGCGGAAGGACCAGUUUGGUUUUGCUUUGUUUUGAUUUGAUUUUCCAAUCUACUGCUUUUGUAAAACAUAAUAAACCUGAACGGCCAGAAAGAACAUUGGAGAUCAGCUAUAACAGAAAAAAUAAAAACCUAAAAAAAAAAAAAAAAGAAAAAGAAAAAGAAAAAUGAACGGCCAGAAAAAUGACAAGGAAGAAAAAAGACCUGGAAGUUACAAGCCCUUUUUCUGUUUGUCUGUGAACAGGUCGAAGGCUGUUGGUCAAACUGCCGAAGAAUUUGUUUCUAAUCAUGAGGCAGCACUGGUUUCUGGCCUCCAUCCCAGGCUGCACCAAGAGGUUGACUCCAGGAAUGGGGCAGGUGGUGUCUUCCUGCCCAUUGACAGUUAGGAGGGGCUCCAGAAAACGAAAAGAAGGCUUCUUGGAGGUCCUGUUGUGGUGCAGCAGAAACGUAUCCGACUAGGAACCAUGAGGUUGCGGGUUCGAUCCCUGGCCUUGCUCAGUGGGUUAAGGAUCUGGCAUUGCCAUGAGCUGUGGUGUAGGUCACAGAUGUAGCUCGGAUCUGGUGUUGCAGUGGCUGUGGUAUAGGACAGAGGCUAUAGCUCCAAUUUGACCCCUAGCCUAGGAACCUCCAUAUGCCUUGGGUGCAGCCCUAAAAAGCAAAAAAAAAAAAAAAGGUUUCUCCUGUGGCGCAGCAGGUUAAGAAUCCAGCGUUGCUGCUGUAGCUCAAGUCACUGCUGUGGCACAUGUUCGAUCGAUCCCUGGCCCAGGGACUCCCACAUGCCUUGGGCAUGGCCAAAAACCAACAGAAACCAAAGAGAACAAGAUGCUGUCAACACUGUAAAUCAACUAUAGUUUAAUAAAAGAAGUUUUAAUGAAAAAAAAAAAAAAAA